UUUUAUCAGAGAGUUUGAUCCUGGCUCAGGAUGAACGCUGGCGGCGUGCUUAACACAUGCAAGUCGAGCGAAGCAGUUAAG
rnacentral:rRNA from 1 species